GCUUUUGUGGGCCGGUCGGCUCUGUCAGUGAUGCAGUUUAAACCAGACUGUAACAGCAGUAGAUGGAUUUGUCUGAUAUUUUAAGUUUUUGAACAGUUUGGGAAAGAAAAAAAAAAACUUCAUUUGAAGUGCACAUGUUUAAACCAGAGUGAGGAGUCUCCAUGUUGGAUUUCUAAGAUUUAAUGAAUAAAAUGAAAAAUAAAAGUUA